UCGAUUUCAGAUGUUUUCUCGCGUGAAAUCAACGGCCGCAUAUUAUAAAUCACUUAUUUGAAUGUGGUUUGUGAUAUUCGGCCUAAGAUUACCACUCGUAAUGCUGCUAACAAUAUCU
rnacentral:precursor_RNA from 8 species